rnacentral:lncRNA from 1 species
CUGAGAGAGCCUCUCCAGGGAGCCGGGCACGCAGUCCAGAAGGCUGCAGUAUUUCCUCCAAGGGGGGAAAAAGAAGAUGAAAAAGAAGAAGAAAAAGAAAGAAAGAGGCUGCUGCCACCCCUCUGCUAGCUAUCUGGAAUAGCACAGUGAGCAGCGUCUGCAGCCGAGCCGCGGGUGGAACCGAACCCCAGCUUCUCUGUGAAGUGCCUGGGUGGGGCAUGGCCCAGCCUCCCUGCCCUGCUCCGACCAGGGCUCCCAAGCUCCCAAGCUGCUUCUCCUCUUCAAUCGCCAAGUUCCCAGAGGAUUGCACACAAAAAAAUUGAACAAAAACUCAUAAUUACUUGUCAGAGUUUUUCCCCCCACCAGUAAUAAUAUUCCGACACGUCGAUCAGCUGCUACAUUAUAAUACAGAUUGUUUCAGAGAAGAUAGAUCUCCUUAAAGGGUUUCUCUGCAAGGCGGCGGUGAGGCUAAAAUUAGCUGUGCCAGCUGUGUUUUGCUGGGAGUGCUCACGCAUGCCCGGAGCGUGGGCAGCCAGCCUCUGUGCCUCUCCACUCCCCCAAGUCUGCCGAACACUCCAGCCGUCCUUUCAGAUAAAAGACUCCAGGUACAAAGGCAGUUUCCUCACAUGGAGGGAGAAUUGAAACUGCAAUACACAGGAUGCCACCUCUGCUUUAAGUCCCGCCUGCCACUCAUGGGGUAACAACCUAGGCUCCUGUGCUCCUUAGCUCCAGGAAGCUCAGUUCUGAAGUCUGGGUACCAGCAGAAAGACAAGGACACGGAGACAUCACAUUGGGUUUUAUGUCGAUUCUCUCUCUCUCUCUCUCUCUCUCUCUCUCUCUCUCUCUCUCUCUGUGUGUGUGUGUGUGUGUGUGUGUGUGUGUGUUUCUCUUUUUUAAAAGACAGGGUCUCAGAUACCCCAAGCUGCUCUUAAAACUUGCUGUGAAACGGAAUGAUUUUGGCUUCUGAUUCUCCUGCCUUCCAUCGCCCAGCACUGGUAUUGAAGGCAUAAAUUAAUGAAUGAACCAGGUUCCUGUGGGCACUGGCUGUGGAACCUAGGACCCUGCCCACAAUGGGCAAGCACUCUACCAACACAGCUAUCUCUUGAUGACAAAAAUCAGAACUUGGGUUGGAAAGUGGGUAUGGGACACCUGUGAUGGAAACAUAUCAAGACAGCUUCACUCAUGGACCUCAAUUAUUCCAUCCAUAAAAUGGAGAAGGACAGCAACUGAAAUCAGGCACCAAUCUCAAAGUCUUCUGGCCACAUCUCCCUCUCUAGAGAACUUGUCAAGCAUCUGGGAAUCUCGUUGUUCCUUCCUUUCUGCUUGGUAUCAGACUGUAAAUUCUACUCUUCACACUUCAUGGUCCAGCUCUGAGUGCCACUGAGCAGAGGUCAUGUUGGUGAUCGCCAAGCUCACACCAGGCAUCCUCUGCCAGCAUGAACAUGCCCCCCUGAAGCAGUCUUCCUGAAACCCUCACUUCCCAAGGUAUAGUUGGUUUUCCCCAAGUUGGUUUCUCCCACGACCUUCUAAACUCAGAACAGCAGGCCAUAGCCUCCUCUGUAGCCUUAAGAACUAGCAAGGCCAGACACAAAGCAUGUGUUCUGACAUGCUUGGAGAACAAAAUAUCCUGGACAUAAUAAACAAUUUGUCCCUCA